CUACUCUAGUUUCCCUUCAGAUACGCAUAAAUCUUUCGCCUUUUACUAAAGAUUUCCGUGGAGGGGAACAACUAUGAGUCUGUGAAUUUUUUUGUUAUACCCAACUUAAGUUGGGUAU
rfam:Harpegnathos saltator strain R22 G/1 HarSal_1.0_2.contig7159, whole genome shotgun sequence.